CACUUUUGGCAGGGAAGAAAAGGUUCUGGUUAAUACCCGGAACUGCUGACGGUACCUGCAGAAUAAGCACCGGCUAACUACGUGCCAGCAGCCGCGGUAAUACGUAGGGUGCAAGCGUUAAUCGGAAUUACUGGGCGUAAAGCGUGCGCAGGCGGUUUGGCAAGAAGGAUGUGAGAUCCCGGGGCUUAACCUCGGAACUGCAUUCUUAACUGCCAGGCUGGAGUAUGUCAGAGGGGGGUAGAAUUCCACGUGUAGCAGUGAAAUGCGUAGAGAUGUGGAGGAAUACCGAUGGCGAAGGCAGCCCCCUGGGAUAAUACUGACGCUCAUGCACGAAAGCGUGGGGAGCAAACAGGAUUAGAUACCCUGGUAGUCCACGCCCUAAACGAUGUCAACUAGCUGUUGGGGCCUUCGGGCCUUAGUAGCGCAGCUAACGCGUGAAGUUGACCGCCUGGGGAGUACGGUCGCAAGAUUAAAACUCAAAGGAAUUGACGGGGACCCGCACAAGCGGUGGAUGAUGUGGAUUAAUUCGAUGCAACGCGAAAAACCUUACCUACCCUUGACAUGUCUGGAAUCCCGAAGAGAUUUGGGAGUGCUCGCAAGAGAACCGGAACACAGGUGCU
rnacentral:rRNA from 1 species